rnacentral:rRNA from 1 species
GACGCAGCUAACGCAUUAAGUGCCCCGCCUGGGGAGUACGAUCGCAAGAUUAAAACUCAAAAGAAUUGACGGGGCCCCGCACAAGCAGCGGAGCAUGCGGCUUAAUUCGACGCAACGCGAAGAACCUUACCAAGGCUUGACAUAUAGGGAAAAGUGGCAGAGAUGUCAUGUCCGCAAGGGCUCUAUACAGGUGGUGCAUGGUUGUCGUCAGCUCGUGUCGUGAGAUGUUGGGUUAAGUCCCGCAACGAGCGCAACCCUCGUUCUGUGUUGCCAGCAUUUAGUUGGGGACUCACAGGAGACUGCCGGGGUUAACUCGGAGGAAGGUGGGGAUGACGUCAAAUCAUCAUGCCCCUUAUGUCUUGGGCUGCACGCAUGCUACAAUGGCUGGUACAAAGGGCUGCAAUACUGCAAAGUGGAGCGAAUCCCAAAAAGCCAGUCUCAGUUCGGAUUGGGGUCUGCAACUCGACCCCAUGAAGUCGGAGUUGCUAGUAAUCGUAGAUCAGCAACGCUACGGUGAAUACGUUCCCGGGGCUUGUACACACCGCCCGUCACAUCACGAAAGUC